UUUGGUAUAGGGUGCGCUAAUAUGUACUUCAGCAAGGAAAGUUGGUCUUAUUGAUACAGAUGCUGGCUCGGUCACGUGGCUUAUCAGACCUAAUGGCAAAGCACUGUUCUUAAAUGGCUCCAUGACGGUGGACCUUCAACAAUCAAGUACCACUUCAAUCCCUCUGACGUCAACAAUCGCAGCUUCCCUGGCGUCUUCAGCAGCAACAUCUCC